rnacentral:lncRNA from 1 species
GCAGGUUACUCCUUUCCCUGCUUACAUACUGUGCUCCUGAGAAGGAAGCCACCGGGUAAGGUGCACACUGGAGUGGAAUGUUAUGUUCCACCUCCUUGAGCUUUAGACCAGGGGUCCCCCACCCCUGAGUCACAGACCAGUACUGGUCCGUGGUCUGUGAGGAACUGGGCGGCACAGCAGGAGGUGAAUGGCAGGCCAGAAGAGGAAUGUCCUACGUGAACGUGAUUUAACAGCUCCAUCGCCUGGGGCCACGUGGAAUUCUUGAAGCAGCUGUGUCAGACAUCCGAGUCAAGUUGGGGCAUGAGUGACCUCUCAACAUCUAAUGGAGCAUUUACUCCUUCAGUGCCAGAGUUUAUCACCGCUCACUUCUGGAUCGUGUUAAUGCUGCAGUCACUUCCUGUCUGCAAAACAAUCAUUACAUUCACCAGAGUUCUGGGUGUUACAGGCCACGUGGGGGAUUGUUACGCUGGGGGUUGUUACCUGAAAUGGCUAAAAAAAUGUUUGUAAAA